UACGGGGGGGGCAAGCGUUGUUCGGAAUUACUGGGCGUAAAGGGUUCGUAGGUGGCCUACUAAGUCAGACGUGAAAUCCCUCAGCUUAACUGGGGAACUGCGUCUGAUACUGGGGGGGCUUGAGGACAGGAGAGGAACGCGGAAUUCCAGGUGUAGCGGUGAAAUGCGUAGAUAUCUGGAGGAACACCGGUGGCGAAGGCGGCGUUCUGGACUGUUUCUGACACUGAGGAACGAAAGCCAGGGGGAGCAAACGGGG
rnacentral:rRNA from 1 species